rnacentral:rRNA from 1 species
UACGUAGGGUGCGAGCGUUGUCCGGAAUUAUUGGGCGUAAAGAGCUCGUAGGCGGCUUGUCACGUCGGAUGUGAAAGCCCGAGGCUUAACCUCGGGUCUGCAUUCGAUACGGGCUAGCUAGAGUGUGGUAGGGGAGAUCGGAAUUCCUGGUGUAGCGGUGAAAUGCGCAGAUAUCAGGAGGAACACCAAUGGCGAAGGCAGCACUCUGGGACGUGACUGACGCUGAGACGCGAAAGCGUGGGGAGCAAACAGG